UACGGGGGGGGCGAGCGUUGUUCGGAAUUACGUGGGCGUAAAGGGUUUGUAGGUGGUCUGCUAAGUCAGACGUGAAAUCCCUCAGCUUAACUGGGGAACUGCGUCUGAUACUGGCGGACUUGAGGACAGGAGAGGAACGCGGAAUUCCAGGUGUAGCGGUGAAAUGACGUAGAUAUCUGGAGGAACACCGGUGGCGAAGGCGGCCCCCUGGACCGGUACUGACGCUCAGGAGCGAAAGCGUGGGGAGCG
rnacentral:rRNA from 1 species